rnacentral:rRNA from 1 species
CCUACGGGGGGCAGCAGUAGGGAAUCUUCCACAAUGGGCGAAAGCCUGAUGGAGCAACGCCGCGUGGGUGAAGAAGGUCUUCGGAUCGUAAAACCCUGUUGUUAGAGAAGAAAGUGCGUGAGAGUAACUGUUCACGUUUCGACGGUAUCUAACCAGAAAGCCACGGCUAACUACGUGCCAGCAGCCGCGGUAAUACGUAGGUGGCAAGCGUUAUCCGGAUUUAUUGGGCGUAAAGGGAACGCAGGCGGUCUUUUAAGUCUGAUGUGAAAGCCUUCGGCUUAACCGGAGUAGUGCAUUGGAAACUGGGAGACUGGAGUGCAGAAGAGGGGAGUGGAACUCCAUGUGUAGCGGUGAAAUGCGUAGAUAUAUGGAAGAACACCAGUGGCGAAAGCGGCUCUCUGGUCUGUAACUGACGCUGAGGUUCGAAAGCGUGGGUAGCAAACAGGAUUAGAUACCCGAGUAGUCC